rnacentral:tRNA from 1 species
GGGCCCGUAGCUCAGUUGGAAGAGCCACCGGCUCAUAACCGGUCGGUCGCAGGUUCGAGGCCUGCCGGGCCCA